rnacentral:tRNA from 4 species
GCGGGUGUAGUUCAAUGGUAGAACUAUAGCCUUCCAAGCUAUUAACGUGGGUUCGAUUCCCAUCACCCGCUCCA